rnacentral:tRNA from 3 species
CGGGGAGUAGCGCAGUUUGGCUAGCGCGUUUGGUUCGGGACCAAAAGGCCGUGGGUUCAAAUCCCACCUCCCCGACCA